rnacentral:misc_RNA from 1 species
UACCUGGUUGAUUCUGCCAGUAGUCAUAU